GGUUAAGCGACUAAGCGUACACGGUGGAUGCCCUGGCAGUCAGAGGCGAUGAAGGACGUGCUAAUCUGCGAUAAGCGUCGGUAAGGUGAUAUGAACCGUUAUAACCGGCGAUUUCCGAAUGGGGAAACCCAGUGUGUUUCGACACACUAUCAUUAACUGAAUCCAUAGGUUAAUGAGGCGAACCGGGGGAACUGAAACAUCUAAGUACCCCGAGGAAAAGAAAUCAACCGAGAUUCCCCCAGUAGCGGCGAGCGAACGGGGAGGAGCCCAGAGCCUGAAUCAGUGUGUGUGUUAGUGGAAGCGUCUGGAAAGGCGCGCGAUACAGGGUGACAGCCCCGUACACAAAAAUGCACAUGCUGUGAGCUCGAUGAGUAGGGCGGGACACGUGGUAUCCUGUCUGAAUAUGGGGGGACCAUCCUCCAAGGCUAAAUACUCCUGACUGACCGAUAGUGAACCAGUACCGUGAGGGAAAGGCGAAAAGAACCCCGGCGAGGGGAGUGAAAAAGAACCUGAAACCGUGUACGUACAAGCAGUGGGAGCACGCUUAGGCGUGUGACUGCGUACCUUUUGUAUAAUGGGUCAGCGACUUAUAUUCUGUAGCAAGGUUAACCGAAUAGGGGAGCCGAAGGGAAACCGAGUCUUAACUGGGCGUUAAGUUGCAGGGUAUAGACCCGAAACCCGGUGAUCUAGCCAUGGGCAGGUUGAAGGUUGGGUAACACUAACUGGAGGACCGAACCGACUAAUGUUGAAAAAUUAGCGGAUGACUUGUGGCUGGGGGUGAAAGGCCAAUCAAACCGGGAGAUAGCUGGUUCUCCCCGAAAGCUAUUUAGGUAGCGCCUCGUGAACUCAUCUCCGGGGGUAGAGCACUGUUUCGGCAAGGGGGUCAUCCCGACUUACCAACCCGAUGCAAACUGCGAAUACCGGAGAAUGUUAUCACGGGAGACACACGGCGGGUGCUAACGUCCGUCGUGAAGAGGGAAACAACCCAGACCGCCAGCUAAGGUCCCAAAGUCAUGGUUAAGUGGGAAACGAUGUGGGAAGGCCCAGACAGCCAGGAUGUUGGCUUAGAAGCAGCCAUCAUUUAAAGAAAGCGUAAUAGCUCACUGGUCGAGUCGGCCUGCGCGGAAGAUGUAACGGGGCUAAACCAUGCACCGAAGCUGCGGCAGCGACGCUUAUGCGUUGUUGGGUAGGGGAGCGUUCUGUAAGCCUGCGAAGGUGUGCUGUGAGGCAUGCUGGAGGUAUCAGAAGUGCGAAUGCUGACAUAAGUAACGAUAAAGCGGGUGAAAAGCCCGCUCGCCGGAAGACCAAGGGUUCCUGUCCAACGUUAAUCGGGGCAGGGUGAGUCGACCCCUAAGGCGAGGCCGAAAGGCGUAGUCGAUGGGAAACAGGUUAAUAUUCCUGUACUUGGUGUUACUGCGAAGGGGGGACGGAGAAGGCUAUGUUGGCCGGGCGACGGUUGUCCCGGUUUAAGCGUGUAGGCUGGUUUUCCAGGCAAAUCCGGAAAAUCAAGGCUGAGGCGUGAUGACGAGGCACUACGGUGCUGAAGCAACAAAUGCCCUGCUUCCAGGAAAAGCCUCUAAGCAUCAGGUAACAUCAAAUCGUACCCCAAACCGACACAGGUGGUCAGGUAGAGAAUACCAAGGCGCUUGAGAGAACUCGGGUGAAGGAACUAGGCAAAAUGGUGCCGUAACUUCGGGAGAAGGCACGCUGAUAUGUAGGUGAAGCGACUUGCUCGUGGAGCUGAAAUCAGUCGAAGAUACCAGCUGGCUGCAACUGUUUAUUAAAAACACAGCACUGUGCAAACACGAAAGUGGACGUAUACGGUGUGACGCCUGCCCGGUGCCGGAAGGUUAAUUGAUGGGGUUAGCGCAAGCGAAGCUCUUGAUCGAAGCCCCGGUAAACGGCGGCCGUAACUAUAACGGUCCUAAGGUAGCGAAAUUCCUUGUCGGGUAAGUUCCGACCUGCACGAAUGGCGUAAUGAUGGCCAGGCUGUCUCCACCCGAGACUCAGUGAAAUUGAACUCGCUGUGAAGAUGCAGUGUACCCGCGGCAAGACGGAAAGACCCCGUGAACCUUUACUAUAGCUUGACACUGAACAUUGAGCCUUGAUGUGUAGGAUAGGUGGGAGGCUUUGAAGUGUGGACGCCAGUCUGCAUGGAGCCGACCUUGAAAUACCACCCUUUAAUGUUUGAUGUUCUAACGUUGACCCGUAAUCCGGGUUGCGGACAGUGUCUGGUGGGUAGUUUGACUGGGGCGGUCUCCUCCUAAAGAGUAACGGAGGAGCACGAAGGUUGGCUAAUCCUGGUCGGACAUCAGGAGGUUAGUGCAAUGGCAUAAGCCAGCUUGACUGCGAGCGUGACGGCGCGAGCAGGUGCGAAAGCAGGUCAUAGUGAUCCGGUGGUUCUGAAUGGAAGGGCCAUCGCUCAACGGAUAAAAGGUACUCCGGGGAUAACAGGCUGAUACCGCCCAAGAGUUCAUAUCGACGGCGGUGUUUGGCACCUCGAUGUCGGCUCAUCACAUCCUGGGGCUGAAGUAGGUCCCAAGGGUAUGGCUGUUCGCCAUUUAAAGUGGUACGCGAGCUGGGUUUAGAACGUCGUGAGACAGUUCGGUCCCUAUCUGCCGUGGGCGCUGGAGAACUGAGGGGGGCUGCUCCUAGUACGAGAGGACCGGAGUGGACGCAUCACUGGUGUUCGGGUUGUCAUGCCAAUGGCACUGCCCGGUAGCUAAAUGCGGAAGAGAUAAGUGCUGAAAGCAUCUAAGCACGAAACUUGCCCCGAGAUGAGUUCUCCCUGACUCCUUGAGAGUCCUGAAGGAACGUUGAAGACGACGACGUUGAUAGGCCGGGUGUGUAAGCGCAGCGAUGCGUUGAGCUAACCGGUACUAAUGAACCGUGAGGCUUAACCUU
rnacentral:rRNA from 1 species